GCCUGGGUGGCUCAGUGGUUGAGCAUCUGCCUUUGACUCAGGUCGUGAUCCCGGGGUCCUGGGAUCGAAUCCCGCAUCGGGCU
rnacentral:tRNA from 1 species